rnacentral:tRNA from 1 species
ACCUGGGUGGCUCAGUUGUUUGGGCAUCUGACUUCAACUCAGGUCAUGAUCUCACCGCUCGUGAGUUCAAGCCCCGCAUCAGGCU